AUUGAACGCUGGCGGCAUGCCUUACACAUGCAAGUCGAACGGUAACAGGUCUUCGGAUGCUGACGAGUGGCGCACGGGUGAGUAAUACAUCGCAACGUGCCCAGACGUGGGGGAUAACGAGGCGAAAGCUUUGCUAAUACCGCAUACGAUCUAAGGAUGAAAGCAGGGGACCGCAAGGCCUUGCGCGUUUGGAGCGGCCGAUGGCAGAUUAGGUAGUUGGUGGGAUAAAAGCUUACCAAGCCGACGAUCUGUAGCUGGUCUGAGAGGACGACCAGCCACACUGGGACUGAGACACGGCCCAGACUCCUACGGGAGGCAGCAGUGGGGAAUUUUGGACAAUGGGCGAAAGCCUGAUCCAGCAAUGCCGCGUGCAGGAUGAAGGCCUUCGGGUUGUAAACUGCUUUUGUACGGAACGAAAAGGCUCUGGCUAAUACCUGGGGCACAUGACGGUACCGUAAGAAUAAGCACCGGCUAACUACGUG
rnacentral:rRNA from 1 species